CGAGUGGCGAACGGGUGAGUAACACGUGGGUAAUCUGCCCUGCACUCUGGGAUAAGCCUGGGAAACUGGGUCUAAUACUGGAUAUGACCUUUCUCCUUAUGGGGUUUGGUGGAAAGUUUUUCGGUGUAGGAUGAGCCCGCGGCCUAUCAGCUUGUUGGUGGGGUGAUGGCCUACCAAGGCGACGACGGGUAGCCGGCCUGAGAGGGUGAUCGGCCACAUUGGGACUGAGAUACGGCCCAG
rnacentral:rRNA from 1 species